CAAGGAACAUGCAACUAAACAGCUUGCAUUCGUCGCCCCGGAGACGGUGUGUGUGCGGAUGCUCAGCUGCGAUCUAAAGUCUAAAACGACUCUCGGCAACGGAUAUCUCGGCUCUCGCAUCGAUGAAGAACGUAGCGAAAUGCGAUACUUGGUGUGAAUUGCA
rnacentral:rRNA from 1 species